rnacentral:rRNA from 1 species
UACAGAGGGUGCGAGCGUUGUUCGGAAUUACUGGGCGUAAAGCGCGCGCAGGCGGCCUUUUAAGUCUGACGGUGAAAUGCCGGGGCUCAACCCCGUGCCCGCCGGAGAUACUGGGAGGCUGGAGACGAGUAGAGGCAAGCGGAAUUCCGGGUGUAGCGGUGGAAUGCGUAGAGAUCCGGAAGAACACCGGAGGCGAAGGCUGCUUGCUGGGCUCGGUCUGACGCUGAGGCGCGAAAGCGUGGGGAGCGAACAGG